AAAUAAGCCAAGUUAGAAAUGGACAAAAGACUUAAAUAGACAUUUCACCAAAGAAGAUAUGCAAAUGUCCAUUAAGCACAUGGAAAGAGGCUUAACAUUAUUAGUCAUUAGGGAAAUGCAGACCAAAAACA